rnacentral:rRNA from 1 species
UCCAGAGUUUGAUCAUGGCUCAGGACGAACGCUGGCGGCGUGCCUAAUACAUGCAAGUCGAGCGGACUUAAAAAGCUUGCUUUUUAAGUUAGCGGCGGACGGGUGAGUAACACGUGGGCAACCUGCCUGUAAGACUGGGAUAACUUCGGGAAACCGGAGCUAAUACCGGAUAAUCCUUUUCUACUCAUGUAGGAAAGCUGAAAGACGGUUUACGCUGUCACUUACAGAUGGGCCCGCGGCGCAUUAGCUAGUUGGUGAGGUAACGGCUCACCAAGGCGACGAUGCGUAGCCGACCUGAGAGGGUGAUCGGCCACACUGGGACUGAGACACGGCCCAGACUCCUACGGGAGGCAGCAGUAGGGAAUCUUCCGCAAUGGACGAAAGUCUGACGGAGCAACGCCGCGUGAGUGAUGAAGGUUUUCGGAUCGUAAAACUCUGUUGUUAGGGAAGAACAAGUACGAGAGUAACUGCUCGUACCUUGACGGUACCUAACCAGAAAGCCACGGCUAACUACGUGCCAGCAGCCGCGGUAAUACGUAGGUGGCAAGCGUUGUCCGGAAUUAUUGGGCGUAAAGCGCGCGCAGGCGGUCCUUUAAGUCUGAUGUGAAAGCCCACGGCUCAACCGUGGAGGGUCAUUG